CUUCGCGCAAAUGCAACGAGUUCUAGCUUUAAGCUUUAGGGAAGUUGGUGAAAGUCCAACACUGCCCCCGCAACGGUAACCAUGAAACGUAUAUCGAUUUAAAUCUUAUGAUUUACACCACUGUAUGAACAAUAUGGGAAGGUGGAUAUACAGCGAAGCAAUCAUAAAUUAGAAGAUGCUUGGCACAUUGUAGUCCGGAGACCUGCUUGUUGUGCCCUUAACUC
rnacentral:ncRNA from 1 species